AACGAACGCUGGCGGCGCGCCUAAUACAUGCAAGUCGAGCGAGAAGACGUAGCAAUACGUUUGUAAAGCGGCGAACGGGUGAGGAAUACAUGGGUAACCUACCCUCGAGUGGGAAUAACUAGCCGAAAGGUUAGCUAAUACCGCGUACGCUCCUUGGACUUCGGUUCAGGGAGGAAAGCGAUACCGUGGGUAUCGCGCUCUUGGAUGGGCUCAUGUCCUAUCAGCUUGUUGGUGAGGAACGGCUCACCAAGGCUUCGACGGGUAGCUGGUCUGAGAGGACGAUCAGCCACACUGGCACUGCGACACGGGCCAGACUCCUACGGGAGGCAGCAGUAAGGAUAUUGCGCAAUGGGCGAAAGCCUGACGCAGCGACGCCGCGUGGGGGAUGAAGGUCUUCGGAUUGU
rnacentral:rRNA from 1 species